rnacentral:rRNA from 1 species
UUAAGUUAAUAAGGGCGCACGGUGGAUGCCUUGGCACUAGGAGCCGAAGAAGGACGUGACAAACGACGAUAUGCCUUGGGUAGCUGUAAGUAAGCGAUGAUCCAGGGAUUUCCGAAUGGGGGAACCCAACAGGUACUACCUGUUACCCAUAUCUGUUAAGGAUAUGAGGAGGAAGACGCAGUGAACUGAAACAUCUAAGUAGCUGCAGGAAGAGAAAGCAAAAGCGAUUGCCUUAGUAGCGGCGAGCGAAACGGCAGGAGGGCAAACCGAAGAGUUUACUCUUCGGGGUUGUAGGACUGCAAUGUGGACUCAAAGACUAUAGAAGAAUGAUUUGGGAAGAUCAGCCAAAGAGAGUGAUAGCCUCGUAUUUAAAAUAGUCUUUGUACCUAGCAGUAUCCUGAGUACGGCGAGACACGUGAAAUCUCGUCGGAAUCUGGGAGGACCAUCUCCCAACCCUAAAUACUCCCUAGUGACCGAUAGUGAACCAGUACCGUGAGGGAAAGGUGAAAAGCACCCCGGGAGGGGAGUGAAAUAGAACCUGAAACCGUGUGCCUACAACAAGUUCGAGCCCGUUAAUGGGUGAGAGCGUGCCUUUUGUAGAAUGAACCGGCGAGUUACGAUAUGAUGCGAGGUUAAGUUGAAGAGACGGAGCCGUAGGGAAACCGAGUCUGAAUAGGGCGCCUUAGUAUUAUGUCGUAGACCCGAAACCAUGUGACCUACCCAUGAGCAGGUUGAAGGUGCGGUAAAACGCACUGGAGGACCGAACCAGGGCACGUUGAAAAGUGCUUGGAUGACUUGUGGGUAGCGGAGAAAUUCCAAACGAACUUGGAGAUAGCUGGUUCUCUCCGAAAUAGCUUUAGGGCUAGCGUCGACAUUAGAGAUUCUUGGAGGUAGAGCACUGUUUGGGUGAGGGGUCCAUCCCGGAUUACCAAUCUCAGAUAAACUCCGAAUGCCAAUGAAUUAUGGUCGGCAGUCAGACUGCGAGUGCUAAGAUCCGUAGUCGAAAGGGAAACAGCCCAGACCACCAGCUAAGGUCCCAAAAUAAUUGUUAAGUGGAAAAGGAUGUGGGGUUGCACAGACAACUAGGAUGUUAGCUUAGAAGCAGCUAUUCAUUCAAAGAGUGCGUAAUAGCUCACUAGUCGAGUGACCCUGCGCCGAAAAUGUACCGGGGCUAAAACAAUUUACCGAAGCUGUGGAUACCUUUAUAGGUAUGGUAGGAGAGCGUUCUAUGUGUGAAGAAGGUGUACCGUGAGGAGCGCUGGAACGCAUAGAAGUGAGAAUGCCGGUAUGAGUAGCGAAAGACAGGUGAGAAUCCUGUCCACCGUAAGACUAAGGUUUCCAGGGGAAGGCUCGUCCGCCCUGGGUUAGUCGGGACCUAAGGAGAGACCGAAAGGUGUAUCCGAUGGACAACAGGUUGAUAUUCCUGUACUAGAGUAUGUAGUGAUGGAGGGACGCAGUAGGCUAACUAAAGCAGACGAUUGGAAGAGUCUGUCUAAGCAGUGAGGUGUGAUAUGAGUCAAAUGCUUAUAUCUAUAACAUUGAGCUGUGAUGGGGAGCGAAGUUUAGUAGCGAAGUUAGUGACGUCACACUGCCAAGAAAAGCUUCUAGCGUUUAAACAUACUCUACCCGUACCGCAAACCGACACAGGUAGUCGAGGCGAGUAGCCUCAGGUGAUCGAGAGAACUCUCGUUAAGGAACUCGGCAAAAUGACCCCGUAACUUCGGGAGAAGGGGUGCUGACUUUAAGUCAGCCGCAGUGAAUAGGCCCAAGCAACUGUUUAUCAAAAACACAGCUCUCUGCUAAAUCGUAAGAUGAUGUAUAGGGGGUGACGCCUGCCCGGUGCUGGAAGGUUAAGAGGAGUGCUUAGCGUAAGCGAAGGUAUGAAUUGAAGCCCCAGUAAACGGCGGCCGUAACUAUAACGGUCCUAAGGUAGCGAAAUUCCUUGUCGGGUAAG